rnacentral:rRNA from 1 species
ACUCAAAUGAAUAGACGGGGACUUGCACAAGCAGAGGAUUAUGUGGUUUAAUUCGAUGAUAAACGAAGAAUCUUACCAAGGUUUGAAACCUAGCUGAACCUAAGCAGAAACGCAUAGGGUCCCACAAGGACAGUUAGGCAGGUGAUGCAUGGCCGUCGUCAGUUCGUGAUUUGAAUUGUUCCCUUAAGUGGGGUAACGAACGCAACCCUCGUUGUCUGUUAUACGUAUCAGGCGAGACUGCCCAGCUUUUUGUAAAGUAAAAUUAAUUUUAAUUUAUAAAAAGCUGGGAGGAAGGCGAGGAUGACGCCAGGUCAGCAUGUCCCUUUGAUACCUUGGGCUACACACAUAAUACAAUGGCGACUACAACGCGAUGCGACGGGGUAACCCUGAGCCAAUCGUAAUAAAAGUCGCCCCAGUUCAGAUUGGGGGCUGAAACUCGACCCCAUGAAGUUGGAUUUGCUAGUAAUCGCGGGUCAGACAUACCGCGGUGAAUACGUUCUCAAGUCUUGUACACACCGCCCGU